GGCCUCCUUCACACAGUUGGGCCAAGAAUGUCUCUGCUUGCUGAAGGAGGUGGUUGGCAGGGUGCCUACCUUCCUGGAAGCCUUGUGUGCCACCUCCUGCAGGAACCUACUCUUUGCCCCACCUGUUCCACCAAAUGUAAUUUUCCAUGGAAAGACAGAAGCAUGGCUUUCCCCCAUUGGGGUGAUCUCUCUUUUUCUUGGUUGUUUGGAGUAGGCUGUGAUUCUUUGAUGGCACCUACAUUUUUUCCCAGUUGCAUUCCUGUGUGAUGGAUUCACCUGCUGUGUUUUCCAUGGCUUUUGUCUCUCACUUCUUCCUCCACAGUUUUGGAUGUCUUCUAGGUGUCAAGCAGUGAAGCCCAGCCUUAGGAGAUAGUGAGAUGAUUAUCAUUCAGCCCUGCUCUCAAGUUGCUCAUGAUAUAGAGGAGGGGUUGGCAAAGUAUGUUGGCCUGCCGCCAUUUUUGCAUGACCCAUAAGCUAAGAAUGGUUUUCACAUAUUCAAGUGGUUGAAAGAAAAUCCAAAGAAGAAUAUUUUAUGACCAGUAAAAUGAUAUGAAAUUCAAGUUUCAGUGUCCAUAAAUACAAUUAUGAUGGAAUAAAGCCUCACCGAUUUGUUUACUUGUUGUCUACAGCAACUCUUGCACUACAAUCAUAGAACUGAGUAGUUGCAACAGAGAUCAUAUGGUCUACAAAGCGCUACCUGGCCCUUUAAGAAAAAGUGUGCUGACUUCUCAUCUAAAGGGGAUGGAAUUUAUGGAUUAGGCAAAUGAAUACAUCAUUCUAGGUAGAGAAAGAGAAAGGAUGUAGUAUAACUAAGAUACUUAGAAAAUUUUCCCAAAAUAGCAGGUGGAUCCAAAGCUCUGAGUCUUAUCUCUAGACAUUUUUCCUUUACAGAUAGAUUCUAUACAAGAGGUGGAGUUGGACAAGGGAAGGGUAAUCUGGGAUAUUUAUUAGGUGUAGUUACCUUUGCCUAAUGAAUGUCUUUUGUUACUCAUUCCUUAGAGGCAGGAGUGUGUGCUUCAGUCAGUUUGAGGUCCACCCAGGGAGAACAGAUCAUGAAUACUUCUAAUGCACACGGUAAAAAUCCCG
rnacentral:lncRNA from 1 species